rnacentral:rRNA from 1 species
GCAAGUCGGACGGCAGCAUAGGUAGCAAUACCUGAUGGCGAGUGGCGAACGGGUGAGUAAUACAUCGGAACGUACCUAUUAGUGGGGGAUAACUGAUCGAAAGAUUGGCUAAUACCGCAUAAUCUCUGAGGAGGAAAGCUGGGGACCAGCAAUGGCCUGGCGCUGAUAGAGCGGCCGAUGGUUGAUUAGCUAGUUGGUGAGGUAAAGGCUUACCAAGGCGAAGAUCAAUAGCUGUUCUGAGAGGAAGAUCAGCCACACUGGGACUGAGACACGGCCCAGACUCCUACGGGAGGGCAGCAGUGGGGAAUCUUGCACAAUGGGGGCAACCCUGAUCCAGCCAUGCCGCGUGUGUGAAGAAGGCCUUCGGUUUGUAAAGCACUUUCGGCCGGAAACGAAAUCGCGCGGGUGAAUAAUCCGCGUGGAUGACGGUACCGGAAGAA